rnacentral:tRNA from 1 species
GGUGGCUCAGUGGUAGAGCGCUUGCCUUGCAAGCAUGAGGCCCUGGUUUCGAUUCCUCAGCACCA